CAGUCGAACGGGCUUAUACUGAAACCUAGUGAUUUAUGAGUUAGUGGCGGACGGGUGAGUAACGCGUGGAUAACCUGCCGUAUACCGGGGGAUAACACUUAGAAAUAGGUGCUAAUACCGCAUAAGCGCACGGCUCCGCAUGGGGCAGUGUGAAAAACUCCGGUGGUAUACGAUGGAUCCGCGUCUGAUUAGCUAGUUGGCGGGGUAACGGCUCACCAAGGCAGCGAUCAGUAGCCGGCCUGAGAGGGUGGACGGCCACAUUGGGACUGAGACACGGCCCAAACUCCUACGGGAGGCAGCAGUGGGGAAUAUUGCACAAUGGGGGAAACCCUGAUGCAGCGACGCCGCGUGAGUGAAGAAGUAUCUCGGUACGUAAAGCUCUAUCAGCAGGGAAGAUAAUGACGGUACCUGACCAAGAAGCCCCGGCUAACUACGUGCCAGCAGCCGCGGUAAUACGUAGGGGGCAAGCGUUAUCCGGAUUUACUGGGUGUAAAGGGAGCGUAGACGGCAGCACAAGUCUGGAGUGAAAUCCCGGGGCUUAACCCCGGAACUGCUUUGGAAACUGUGCGGCUGGAGUGCAGGAGGGGUAAGCGGAAUUCCUAGUGUAGCGGUGAAAUGCGUAGAUAUUAGGAGGAACACCGGUGGCGAAGGCGGCUUACUGGACUGUAACUGACGUUGAGGCUCGAAAGCGUGGGGAGCAAACAGGAUUAGAUACCCUGGUAGUCCACGCCGUAAACGAUGAUUACUAGGUGUCGGGGGACCAAGGUCCUCCGGUGCCGGCGCAAACGCAUUAAGUAAUCCACCUGGGGAGUA
rnacentral:rRNA from 1 species